AUGGUCAUGCUAUAUGGUCUGCAGGAUAGGAAGUUCCAGCCCAGAGAGCCAAUGACAGGAGAAAGGGAGGAGCCUAUAGACAUGAUGCCGGUGGAGAACAGCAUUUUCAGGUCCCUGACCUUUACUGCAGUUUCACAAGGAGCCCCUGACUCCUAGGCAGUCCCAGACUCCCAAAGGAAACAAUACUGACCGUCAGGUGGCUGUCCCAAUCUGCAUUGAGGAUUAGGUCACCGUCGCUUCUCUCUCGCAGCAAGACUGGCCUCCUAUUCAGCAAACUGAGAAAGGAAAUUUUUUAUUCAGGAGUCUUGGACUCCCCCUUGCACGGUUACAGCCCCAAAUCCUGCGAGAGGAGAAAACGAAGGAUAUUCUAACUCGAAGCCCCAAAGUAUGAAGUGACAAGAGCUGAUUUCUUCUGCUGAAACUGCUGAAAGGACAAAAUGUUACAGACAG